rnacentral:rRNA from 1 species
GACGAACGCUGGCGGCGUGCUUAACACAUGCAAGUCGAACGGAAAGGCACUGCUUUUGUGGGGUGCUCGAGUGGCGAACGGGUGAGUAACACGUGAGUAACCUGCCCUUGACUUUGGGAUAACUUCAGGAAACUGGGGCUACUACCGGAUAGGAGCUCCUGCUGCAUGGUGGGGGUUGGAAAGUUUCGGCGGUUGGGGAUGGACUCGCGGCUUAUCAGCUUGUUGGUGGGGUAGUGGCUUACCAAGGCUUUGACCGGUAGCCGGCCUGAGAGGGUGACCGGCCACAUUGGGACUGAGAUACGGCCCAGACGCCUACGGUAGGCAGCAGUGGGGAAUAUUGCACAAUGGGCGGAAGCCUGAGGCAGCAACGCCGCGUGCGGGAUGACGGCCUUCGGGUUGUAAACCGCUUUCGCCUGUGACGAAGCGGGAGUGACGGUAAUGGGUAAAGAAGCACCGGCUAACUACGUG